GUUGCAUUAAAUGAUGGGAGGAGCCAGUGAAAUGGGUUUUUCUCUGAGAUCCAUUGACUUCUCAUUUCCUCUGGAAGAGGAGUUGAAUGAUUUGGGAUCUGGAAAAGUUGCACCGGCACUCGGAGAAGGGAAGAGACAUGAAGGCAUCCUUGGACACAAACAGCUUCUGAGGGAGAAGACUGAGGGAGAAGCCUGCCCUGGCACUGUGGAGGAUCUGGGAGGAUCUGGGCAGCCCCAUGGACUCUCCCCAUCUCCUGCACUUGGGUUUCCUGCUCCUGGCUCUUGCUGCUCCCUGUCCAAAUAUUGCCAUGUCCAGUGCUGGCCCUGCUAACAGGACACAAGGCAGAAUUACGACAAUCUACUACUGCAAGGACUAUAAAUACUGCACAUGCAAGAAAGACCAAAACGAUUUAAAAAACUUUACAAGAAUUGCCGAAAUACAAAACAAGAGAAAUACUAUUUCAGAUGUCCCAGUUGAGUUGGUGAACAACAAAUCACACAUCACUGUUUGCUUUGAGCAUGCAGAUUCCUCUCCUCAAGGAAUGUAUGGCCUCUACUCAGACGAAAGUGGUCAACCAAAAAUCUGGUGUGGCAACCUGAAUUCUGGAGGAAAUGGAGGCGGUAACAUCAAUACUGAGGAGAAGAAUGUUUGCUGUGAAGCAGAGGCAGUUGCCUGGAAUCACAACUCUCACCUGAAGUGCUACAUUCAAAAGUCACAUCCAAAACCCACAUCACUGCCAAUUGCCAUUUCUGAUGAGGAAAAUCUAGAUGGGGCCAGUUCCUUUGUGUGGUGCUUACGAGGCAGCGCAUGCCUUAACCCUCCUGCUUGCUGCACUUGGAUGCUCUGUUUUCUUCUACUCUGCAGGUAAUCCUGAAUUUCUCACCAGCAAGAGCAGCCUUGGCAUCUUGUUGGCAUUCCUGUUUGCUGGGGUUUGCGCAGGAUGGGGCACCAUGUUUUACUUCUUGCGGCUGCGGCGUCGCCAAGCCUUUAAGCAAGACAGACAGUCUUCUGACAGAGAAAACCUCACACAUUCAUGAUAACCAUGUCAAGGGAGAAAACUUCUCUGCCAGCAGCACCCUCCUCCUCUCUCAGGAUGCACAGCGACCAGCAGAACACAGACUGAUUUUCCAUGAGCACUCCUGCUGUAGCAUUCCCAAAUAUUUGUUUUCACAAAUGUAGCUUCACCACAUCCACACCUUCCCUGAGCACGAUGACUCUGGUCCAGCUCCAGGCCUUUGUGAGCAGCACAGGCAGCACCAGGACCCCCAUCCUCUCCUGAUGCUUGGCUGCAGCAAGCAGGCACCCCAGGGUGUGGGGCUGACAGCAGCACAGGCUGAAAGCAGCUGAAUUCUCUCUGUGACAAAGUGGGAACAGCUCUGGAGCACUUCCCAUGCCCUCUGCAGCCUUUCACUUUGGAGUGCCACAGCAGCACCCAGGUGCCUGUAUUGUUUUAAUUCUCAGGUCAUCUCUGCAUUCACCAAAGCUUUUCCACCAUCAGCUGGCUGGUAGGUUGAACUGGAAAAGCUGGGAUGAGAUAUUUGGUUUUGCCCCCACCUGCAGACUGAGUCUGAAUGUUUGUUCCUGUGCAGGGCUGGGUGGGAGGUUGUGUCCAGCUCCCUCAGGAAUGGCAUUGGGUCACAGAGGCCUUGGUCUCCCCCCGGGCUGGACAGAACUCUGGCAUCCAUCUUCCUGACAAAUUAGCCAGUUUAGACAACGUGAGAUGAGUACAGACCCUUUGGUAUCCUUAAAUCAUUCCCCAUUCCCACUUGAUUCGAAUAAAUCCUCAGCUUUUGCACUGGAUCUGAUUUAGAUAAAAAAUCAGUGGCAGCACAAGGGGAGAAGCAAAUUUCUAAAACAAUGGGAAUGUUUGCUGAAUCACUGUCCUUUUGUCACACAGCUAAACACAAGCACACACAGGGACAGCUCUUGGCUCAUUUCUGCUUUGACUGGAUUUUGUUUGUAGCUGUUUUUUCCCUCAGUGUGCCUUAACCAUCCAGUCAGUAGCAGAGUGAACCUUGGAACAAACUCUGCUGUGCUGGUGCUUAAUAUCAAAUCUGGAUUUUACUGAUCCCCUUGCUGGUGAUGUUUUCAGAGAUCUCCAACACUUGGAACAGGUGUUUCCCAUUUGAUCCUUCUGCUCCUUGCUAUUCAUUGCACAAGUGCUUCUUGCCCAGUUUCUUGGGAUAUUGGGGUCACUGGAGAGCUCUAAGGGUCUCAUUAUACAUUUGUAUACCUUUAUUUCUCAGGGUAGCCUGGACUUACACCUUCUGCAAUCCUCUUUCAGAGAAUCUGUAUUAUCCAAUUUCUGAUGUUAUUAAAUGCUUUUAUAUAUAUAAAAAAAA